GAACGCACCUUGCGCCCUUUGGCUAUUCUGAAGGGCAUGCCUGUUUGAGUAUCAUGAACACCUCAACUCUCAUGGUCCGCCAUGAUGAGCUUGGACUUUGGGGGUCUUGCCGGCCUGCUGUCGGCUCCUCUCAAAUGAAUCAGCUUGCCAGUGUUUGGUGGCAUCACGGGUGUGAUAACUAUCUACGCUUGUGGUCCGCCACCAGGUAACCUCCGGUGAUGGAGGUUCGCUGGAGCUCACAAAUGUCUCUCCUCAGCGAGGACAGCUUCUUGAACGUUUGAUCUCAAAUCAGGUAGGACUACCCGCUGAACUUAAG
rnacentral:misc_RNA from 1 species